CGGUAACAGAUCUAGCUUGCUAGAUGCUGACGAGCGGCGGACGGGUGAGUAACGCGUGGGAAUAUGCCCAAUAGUGGGGGAUAGCCAGGGGAAACUCUGAUUAAUACCGCAUAAGCCCUUAGGGGGAAAGCGGGGGAUCUUCGGACCUCGCGCUAUUGGAUUAGCCCGCGUCAGAUUAGCUAGUUGGUAGGGUAAGAGCCUACCAAGGCGACGAUCUGUAGCUGGCCUGAGAGGGUGGUCAGCCACACUGGGACUGAGACACGGCCCAGACUCC
rnacentral:rRNA from 1 species